CCUACGUGCGGCAGCAGUGGGGAAUAUUGCGCAAUGGGCGAAAGCCUGACGCAGCGACGCCGCGUGAGGGAUGAAGGUCUUCGGAUCGUAAACCUCUGUCAGCAGGGAAGAACGGUCACUGUGCUAAUCAGCAGUGAAUUGACGGUACCUGCAAAGGAAGCACCGGCUAACUCCGUGCCAGCAGACGCGGUAAUACGGAGGGUGCGAGCGUUAAUCGGAAUUACUGGGCGUAAAGCGCUCGUAGGCGGUAUGUCAAGUCAAGGGUGAAAUCCCCGCGCUCAACGUGGGAACUGCCUUUGAAACUGGCAAACUGGAGUGUGUGAGAGGAUAGUGGAAUUCCAGGUGUAGGAGUGAAAUCCGUAGAUAUCUGGAGGAACAUCAGUGGCGAAGGCGACUAUCUGGCACAUAACUGACGCUGAGGAGCGAAAGCGUGGGUAGCAAACAGGAUUAGAUACCCUAGUAGUC
rnacentral:rRNA from 1 species